rnacentral:rRNA from 1 species
AGUGAACGCUGGCGGUAGGCCUAACACAUGCAAGUCGAACGGCAGCACAGUAAGAGCUUGCUCUUACGGGUGGCGAGUGGCGGACGGGUGAGGAAUACAUCGGAAUCUACUUUUUCGUGGGGGAUAACGUAGGGAAACUUACGCUAAUACCGCAUACGACCUACGGGUGAAAGCAGGGGAUCUUCGGACCUUGCGCGAUUGAAUGAGCCGAUGUCGGAUGAGCUAGUUGGCGGGGUAAAGGCCCACCAAGGCGACGAUCCGUAGCUGGCCUGAGAGGAUGAUCAGCCAGACUGGAACUGAGACACGGUCCAGACUCCUACGGGAGGCAGCAGUGGGGAAUAUUGGACAAUGGGCGCAAGCCUGAUCCAGCCAUACCGCGUGGGUGAAGAAGGACUUCGGGUUGUAAAGCCCUUUUGUUGGGAAAGAAAAGCAGCAGGUUAAUACCCCGCUGUUCUGACGGUACCCAAAGAAUAAGCACCGGCUAACUUCGUG